rnacentral:rRNA from 1 species
CUCUUUUUGAAAAUAAUUUAAAGUAGGGCCUGCCCACUGAAUUUUGAAGGGCCGCAGUAUUUUGACUGUGCAAAGGUAGCAUAAUCAUUAGUUUUUUAAUUGAAAGCUUGUAUGAAUGGUUUGAUGAAAAAAUUUCUGUUUCAAUUUUAAUUUUUAGAAUUUUAUUUUUAAGUUAAAAAGCUUAAAUUUUAUUUAAAGACGAGAAGACCCUAUAGAGUUUAACUAAAAAUAAAAUUGAAAAUUUUAGAAUUUAAUGUUUUUAUUUUUAUUAAAGUUUUGUUGGGGUGACAGAAAAAUUAAAUUAACUUUUUUUAUAUUAUACCAAAAAUUAUUGAAUAAUUGAUCCAUAAAAAUGAUUAAAAGAUCAAAUUACCUUAGGGAUAACAGCGUAAUUUUUUUCAAGAGUUCUUAUUUAAAGAAAAGAUUGCGACCUCGAUGUUGGAUUAAAAUUUAUUUUUGGUGAAGAAGCUAAAAUAUUGGGUCUGUUCGACCUUUAAAAUUUUACAUGAUCUGAGUUUAAACCGGUGUAAGCCAGGUUGGUUUCUAUCUUAAAUUAAGCAAAAUAUUUUAGUACGAAAGGAUCAAAUAUUUUAUUAAUAAUAUAAAUUAAAGAAUUUUAUUUUGGCAGAAUAGUGCGUUGGAUUUAGAAUCUUUUUAUGUAAUUUAUUACAAAUAAAAAUUGACUUAGUUUUAAUUUUAAUUAAUUUUAUUUUAUUAUUUAUUGGGGUAUUAGUAGGAGUAGCUUUUUUGACUUUAUUAGAACGUAAAUUAUU